rnacentral:rRNA from 1 species
CAGCAGCCGCGGGAAUACGUAGGUGGCAAGCGUUGUCCGGAAUUAUUGGGCGUAAAGGGCUCGCAGGCGGUUUCUUAAGUCUGAUGCGAAAGCCCCCGGCUCAACCGGGGAGGGUCAUUGGAAACUGGGAAACUUGAGUGCAGAAGAGGAGAGUGGAAUUCCACGUGUAGCGGUGAAAUGCGUAGAGAUGUGGAGGAACACCAGUGGCGAAGGCGACUCUCUGGUCUGUAACUGACGCUGAGGAGCGAAAGCGUGGGGAGCGAACAGGAUUAGAUACCCCCGUAGUCCCUGUCUCUUAUAC